UACGUAGGUGGCAAGCGUUGUCCGGAAUUAUUGGGCGUCAAGCGCGCGCAGGCGGCCUUUUAAGUCUGAUGUGAAAGCCCACGGCUCAACCGUGGAAGGUCAUUGGAAACUGAAAGGCUUGAGUACAGAAGAGGAAAGCGGAAUUCCACGUGUAGCGGUGAAAUGCGUAGAGAUGUGGAGGAACACCAGUGGCGAAGGCGGCUCACUGGCCCGGUACUGACGCUGAGGUGCGAAAGCGUGGGGAGCAAACAGG
rnacentral:rRNA from 1 species